GCUCAGAUUGAACGCUGGCGGAAUGCUUUACACAUGCAAGUCGAACGGCAGCACGGGAGCUUGCUCCUGGUGGCGAGUGGCGAACGGGUGAGUAAUGCGUCGGAACGUACCGAGUAAUGGGGGAUAACGCAGCGAAAGCUGUGCUAAUACCGCAUACGCCCUGAGGGGGAAAGUGGGGGAUCGCAAGACCUCACGUUAUUCGAGCGGCCGACGUCUGAUUAGCUAGUUGGUGGGGUAAAGGCUCACCAAGGCGACGAUCAGUAGCGGGUCUGAGAGGAUGAUCCGUCACACUGGAACUGAGACACGGUCCAGACUCCUACGGGAGGCAGCAGUGGGGAAUUUUGGACAAUGGGGGCAACCCUGAUCCAGCCAUUCCGCGUGAGUGAAGAAGGCCUUCGGGUUGUAAAGCUCUUUCAGCCGGAACGAAACGGUACGCACUAAUAUUGUGUGCUAAUGACGGUACCGGCAGAAGAAGCACCGGCUAACUACGUGCCAGCAGCCGCGGUAAUACGUAGGGUGCGAGCGUUAAUCGGAAUUACUGGGCGUAAAGCGUGCGCAGGCGGAUUGUUAAGCAAGAUGUGAAAUCCCCGGGCUUAACCUGGGAAUGGCAUUUUGAACUGGCAGUCUAGAGUGUGUCAGAGGGGGGUGGAAUUCCACGUGUAGCAGUGAAAUGCGUAGAUAUGUGGAGGAACACCAAUGGCGAAGGCAGCCCCCUGGGAUAACACUGACGCUCAUGUACGAAAGCGUGGGUAGCAAACAGGAUUAGAUACCCUGGUAGUCCACGCCCUAAACGAUGUCAACUGGUUGUUGGGGGGAGUGAAAUCCCUUAGUAACGAAGCUAACGCGUGAAGUUGACCGCCUGGGGAGUACGGUCGCAAGAUUAAAACUCAAAUGAAUUGACGG
rnacentral:rRNA from 1 species